rnacentral:lncRNA from 1 species
AUUUUCUAUUCCUUGGUGAAGUAUUGUUUUCUAAGUAUGAUCGCCAAGCAGUCCAUGGUUGCUAAUGGAAUUUUUUUCGCUCUAAGGACCAGUGUUCGAGUCCUUUCUGUGUUGAUUCUGUCAAGCUCUAGGCUGAGUUUGGGUUUUGUUUGUUUGUUUGGUUUGUCAUUACUUUAAUUUGUUUUUAAUGUGUAUGUAUGUUUUGCCUGUAUAUUUGUUUGUAUACCACAUGUGUGCCUGUGGUGCCCAGGGAGGUCAGAAAAAGUGUGUCGGAUAACCCGCCCCCCUCCACCCCCCGGAACUGGGGUUCAGAGCAAUUGGAAAUGGAACCCAGGCCCUCUGCCAGAGCUCUCACCCUCUCUGUUGUUGAUAACAAGGUAGCCCAGAGUGUUGCACAGUCAUGUGCAAAUGCUGGCAGCACUUUCCUUGUGACAAACAGCAUUUGUCACUGAAGUACUCUACAGCCAUUGAAUAAUGGAGACUCAGCCCACCCUCCUGGGUAGAACUGGAUGAAAGGGCAUUUCUGUCAACGUAGUUCAUCAGGAAGGUUGUUUGUUUAGGUUUUCCCUGUAUACAUCUUUGUACUUCGUGUUAAAGCUCAGAGGCUUCAUUUUGAGACAUGUUCAGAGUGGAAUAUCUAAUUUGAAGCCAUCCAUAAAGAGAUUACAUUAAUCUGGAGUCUUAGUGUAGCACAGGGGUUGGGUCUGUGUCUCUGUCACAGUUUAAAAGGAAUUCACCUCAAGAUGUGACUAGUUGGGCAGGAUUGACUAAGGGCCCUCUGGGAAAAGGAACCCCAGGAGUAUCAGUUUCAGGGUGUGACUUGGUCCUCCUAGUGGACAUCAGCUCUUUGGUGGAAGGUAAGUGUGUCAGCUAGGGGGCGGGGGUGGUUUUGUUGAUAUUGUUACUAGUUUGUUAAGUGUCCUUUUCUGAGCAUCUGUUUCAGUAUUUCUCAGGCUUUUUGUUUGUGCUACGUCUCUAAUACAUCUGACACCAUGAGAAUUUGCUGUAAGUUUAACUCCUGAGCCUCAAGUAGAUAAAAGGGCUGUGUUCUCUCAAGUCAGUGUCUAUAGCUGUGAAAUUGGUGUGGGAGCACAGAAAACACUUUGAGGUUCUCGUUGGUAGCUUUAGAGUGGAACGGGCAGCAUUUCCUAACACUCAGUUCUUAGGAUAGUGAGCUUUUAAAGUAGAAGGUAGGGUGCUUUCUAAUUUUAAUUAUUUGAUCCAAAUGUGUAAAACGGUAGCUCUAGACUGGUGAAGCAUUUGGGACACAGUUGGACAUUUUAAAAGCCAUUUCUCAAGCUUUAAGGCAUUUAGCACAGCCUUUGCAGUGCUCAGCAGAGGCGCGAAUGCAAGCAGAGGCGCGGCCAUGAGGUCGGUGUCCGACGCUGGCCGUGGCUGGAGAGAUGCAGUAAUACUUGUGGAGUGUGAGCGGCAGUGGAUAGGACACGUGACGUGCACGGUGCCUUGGGAGAGCAUGGGCUGGUCCUGCAGGACUCUGCAUUUCACUGUGACUGUGCAGCACAUUUUAGGCUGUGUUUGAAUGUCUCACAAGUUACUGUUAAGUGUCAAAUGCAAGAAUCCAAGAAGGAGCUGAGCCUUUCAUUUUACAUGUUGUUUGAAAUUAGGACAAGAGACAAUUCACUUCUGUUGUGUAAAUAGUAAUUUUUUUUUCAGUUCAGCAAAUAGGGCAAAACAGUGAAACCAUUAACUUCUAGUUUUUGAAAACUAUUUUUUUAUAUUUACUGAUAAGUUUUAAAUCUUAUGGUAGUUGUAAAAAUGAGUAUUGACUUACUAGACUUAUGUAUAAUUCAAAUAAUCUGUUGGCUUCAAUGAAACCGUAAUGAAUCUUCAUGAAUGUUCAUGUAUUUAGCUAUUUUAAGUGAUAUUCUCUUAAUUUGGAUAGUCUUAGGUCAGGCCAGUAGAGAUGAUGCCCACCUGUAAUCCCAGCACUUGGGAGGCAGAGGCAGGAGAGUCUCUGAGUUUGAGGCCAGCCUGGUCUACAGAGUGAGUUCCAGGACAGCCAGGGCUACAUAGAGAAACCCUGUCUGGAGGCAGGGGUUGGGGGUGGGGUUGGGGGGGUGUUGUGGGUGGAAAAUGGGCGGGGGUAAGUUUAACAAAAUUGAAGCAUAGUUUGGGUGCAAAAGUGAAUAAAAUUUGGAUAUUUUUAUGCACUGUGUCUUUGGUUUGUAGUAGUUUACACUCUGCUGUAAAGACCUGAUGUUCCUAAACAGUGUAGUUUUCAAACAGUUUAAUUCUAGGUAUGUCUGGGAAAGUUGUAAACAUGCAGAGUCAUAGAAGCUACAAAAAGCUGGUACAUGAAUUUUGGUGAAAUUGCUUCAUUAAUGAUACAAUAUUCAGUGAAAAACCUAGGCUUCAGAAUAAGUAGAUUUGUAAACUGUUUCUUCAUUAAUUGGUUUUGUCUUAUAUAAAAUGAUUUAACAUAGAAUCUCUGCCAGACUUAUAACGACGCUUUAUAUUUUAUUGGGAGAAAGAUGUAAGCAAAUCCUUUACAUGAUUAUGUCUAUGAUAAUAGGAAAGUAUUUGCUUUACUGUAGUUAUUAGUCAAACAUUUAGGGAAACCAAAGAGGAACCCCCAAAAUAGCUCGUUGGGUUUACUGUAGUGUGACAACAUCCUUUAGUGCUACAUUUAUUUAGUGAGCCCCUCCCCCAAGUUUGGUGUUUAUGAAUAAUUGGAACUGCUUUUCACCUACAUCGAUGUAACUCAUAAAUUUCUAGUGACUCGGGUCUGUGAAUUAGUGAUGCUGGAGCACCCACCGCCCUUCCAAAGAUGUGGGGUGACCCGACACCUGUGCUGUAACAUCUAACAGCUUUUCAGUGUGAUGCACACUAGUUUAGGAGCUAAAACCAUACUGUAAAGAAUGCACUGACAGUGAUGGAAGGCCACCCACGCUGGCUUUCUGUCGAAUACUGUGAGCUUUGCUCUAACUCUGUCUGUAAGGAAUUACCCAUAAACUGGGCUGCUUGGGCACAGUUACUGCUCUGCCUUUGGUUCUGUUCUGUUUAAAGUCAUUGCUGUUACUGGUUAUUACUCUGGACCAGAAAGGCUAGGAAUGUAUAGGAUAAACAUGAGAAGUUGUUCGCAUUCAUAGAAAUAUAAAAGGUAGAAUUUAUUCAGAGAUGAAAGUGGCCUGUGGGAAUGUCACCUUUAUCUCAGGUCGGCUUGGCUCUUAAGCUGCAGUACAGUGGUGGGCAGGAGAUAAAAAUCCGACCUGUAACGUGCAGUGGUUCUUAGGCUUGAGCCAGAACCAGGCAGAAUGUCCAGCAGAGUGUCCUAUUGCCCCUCCCUCUCAGGCAGGAGAGUCCUCAGCUACGUAACUAUGUUGUCAUCUUUCCAUGGAGCAGAAAGUCUGUGUUUCGACACUCCUGAUGUGCUAUGAAACUGCUUGCUAUCUCCUAGGUUUAGACUUCUUGAAACUUUUUUUCCUGUUUUCAGUAGAGAAACUUCUGUUUAUGCUGUAUGUGAAGACAACCAAAUAAAAAUUGAUGAU